CAAAACAUGAAAGGCUAAAACAAUAUUUUAUUCAAAGUCUCAAACUUUAUAUUAUUACUCAAUGUCUAGUCUCAUCGGAGUGGUUUGUAUUGGGAUUCCAAUUUGGUGGGAUAUCAUUAUUUGGGUAUUAUUUUAGAGAAAUGAUGUUUCACCAACAAAAUACUACUUUUGCCAACUGCCAACUAUAAUACGAAUACAUAUGCUAAUAUACAAUGUUUGAUUUGCCUUUUGAAGUGGGAAUUGAAGUAACUCAUGCCUAUGCCCUUAGAUUGAAACUAACAUGUUUUGUCUCUGUUAUUUUUUUCACUCAAUUGUCACGUCAUUCUUCUAUUGCAAAUUCAAAAGUUCUUACUUUUAACUAGCAAAGUUAAUCCCUUUCAAAUCAUGAAAACUAAUCCCCUUUGCUUAAUCUGAGUCUCAUAGACAGUUACCGGAGUUUGGUUUGACUUUCUCGUUGUCGCAUUACUUUGGUGUCGCUGGUGAAGUAUCCACGGGACUUGCUGUGACGCUGUCCACAGCCUGCGAGGAAAGUUCAUUGAGGGAUUACAUGGGCUAUGAAGUUUGGGUUUGUCAUCUACAUGGGCCGUGCAAGCGCUGCUAUUGGAAGAUUGUUGGUGAUAGGCAAAGUAGUUCUAGUUUAUCUCAUAAUUCAGGACCUUUAGAGGAAGCCACAAAAAGUAAGCAUGCAAAGUGCACGUGGACGACUAAGUGUUCUCCACUUCGGAUGAUGUUGGUGAACAAUAAUCUGAGUCCUGAGCAGAGGGAGGCUAUGAAAGAAAUGGAAUUUGGUGUCUUACUUUCUCUAGAUGUCAAGAGAAUGUAUCUGCAGUUAUUGCUCCACAUUGUGGAGGCUCUUAGCUUCCAAAGAAUGUGAAUUGAAGCUAAGUCAUUCAAUUCCAUUGAGAGUUAAUGAUGUGGCCUUCAACAUGAGGAGAAGGCUGAGUUGCAGGAGUUUAAGCAUCUUAAUAUUCCUGGUCUAGGCCGGAUCAUAUAGGAAGUAGGUAUGGACGAUUGGUAGAGGUGUGCUUAUUUGUUGCAUGCCUUUGGAGCCUUUCUCACAAGCAAGAACUAGCUAAGUACUGAUUCGUUGGGAGCUUUGCUACAUGUUAAGAGGUGCAAAAGUUAUAAUUGGAGUUUUUUAAUUCACGAGUGGUUGAUGGAAGUCAUAUGUAGUUAUCGGACAAGGUCUCCAAAGUCCAGCUCCAUAGGAAGAUGCUUGUACCUGUUCUUGGUUCUAUACUUACAAUGGCAAAGGUUCAGGCCGAGUGAUGAGCAGAUAUUUUAUACACUUUUUGGGGUUAAUUUCAUAUAGUUUUGGGUAUUUUUCUGGCUGAAAUUGAAGGAGCUGAGCAAAAAUCUGAUUCAGGCUGAAGAAGGACUGCUGAUGCUGU